ensembl:lncRNA LINC00454 long intergenic non-protein coding RNA 454
GGGGGACGUGGGGGCGCCGAGGGACUUGGAGGGCGCCGAGGGACGUGGGGGCGCUGAGGGACGUUGGGGGUGCUGAGGGGACGCCCGCAGGGGCCGCUGAGGGACGUGGGAGUGUUGAGACACAGACACAGGAAGCAUCAACUCUGAGGCUUUGGCCAGGAUGUGAGCCCGACUUUCGCAGCCCCAACUGGCAGGCUGACCUCAUGUGAACUCCCUGGCGAUGGCAUCCUGGAGACACCCACAUGGCUGAGCUGGCACCAUAGGCACUCAUAAUCCAGGUUCAGUUUCUGCCAGCACUAAUUUGGUUUAUUCCACAUGGCUGGAGCCACUGCGGGACUCCAUUUGUUCCGGGGCCACCUUCCUGUCACCUUUUACUGUUUCUUGAGUCAGCAAGAAAGGCAGAUCCGACUGAAGACUCCAGCACUCUCCUCAGCUGCAGCCCCCACAGAGCUCCGCGAAGUCCUUUCUCCCACAGGACAGAUCUGAGGCACCCACCAUUAGAAGAAAGGAGUGGAGAAAUGAUAUGCAGGAAGAAGGCCCAUUCUGAUUCACCAAUCGCAUGGACGCACUUUCCUACCAGGCUAGGAGGGAGGAAAGUAGAGCCCCACCCUGACUGCUAAGCCGUUUGCUUUGGUGUCAUGAAAAAAGAGUUCAGCUUCCCAAAUCAGAGAGGAAAAGGUUUUCAAGGGGUCCCCUAUUUCUAUUAUGUAAGCUUUAAAUGACAAAGUGGACCUCUGGGGCCAACGUGGGUGUGUGAUGGUGGUUUUGUGGGAUUCUCCCCAUAGCCCCAUCAGACGGCCUCACCUUCUGGGUCUCAGUGGCCCCAGGUGCAACACGGCUCCUCCAGAAAUGAUGACAGCCCUGGCGACCAAGGACUCCCUGUGCCACUGGGUUUGCGCUCAGAAGUAUAUUCAAUGAUUUCCCCAGAAAAUUCCAAGUCAUCUCCUAAUACUGUUUGUGAAAACUAAA